rnacentral:lncRNA from 1 species
AGCAGGUCCAGAAGGAGGAUUCGGGCUUCCAACCCGAGACACUGGUCCAGGAGGUGGGAUGUUCGGGCUUCCAACCAUAGACGCAGGUCCAGGAGGUGGGGGAUAUAGGCUUCCAACCCCAGAAGCAGGUCCAGGAGGAGCAUUCAGGCUUCCAACCCCAGACACUGGUCCAGGAGAUGGGACGUUCGGGCUUCCAACCGUAGACGUAGGUCCAGGAGGUGGGGGAUAUAGACUUCCAACCCCAGAAGCAGGUUCAGGAGGAGGGGGAUAUAGGUUUCCAACCCCAGACACUGGUCCAAGAGGUGGGGGAUAUAGGCUUCCAACCCCAGAAGCAGGUCCACGAGGAGGGGGAUAUAGGUUUCCAACCCCAGACACUGGUCUAGGAGGUGGGACAUUUGGGCUUCCAACCCUAGACGCAGGUCCAGGAGGUGGGACAUUUGGGCUUCCAACCCUAGACGCAGGUCCAGGAGGUGGGACAUUUGGGCUUCCAACCCUAGACGCAGGUCCAGGAGGUGGGACAUUUGGGCUUCCAACCCUAGACGCAGGUCCAGGAGGUGGGGCAUUUGGGCUUCCAACCCCAGAUGCAGGUGUAGAAGGUGGGGG